UGGCGCAGCUUGGUAGCGCGCGUCGUUCGGGACGACGAGGUCGCAGGUUCAAAUCCUGUCACCCCGACCA
rnacentral:tRNA from 1 species